rnacentral:rRNA from 1 species
CCCCAUGGAACUUUAAACUAGUACCACCUCACAACUAAGACCACAUGACUACUAGUCUUUCGGCUGGGGCGACCACGGGGAAAAACAAAACCCCCACGAUGAAAGGAAAUAUCCUUAUCCUAGACCCACCUCUCCAAGAAUCAAUAAAUGACAUUUUUUGACCCAACACUUGAUCAACGAACCAAGCUACCCUGGGGAUAACAGCGCAAUCCAUUUCAAGAGACCUCAUCGACAAAU